GGGGGGGGGGUGUGGCAGGCCAACUAUUCCAAAGACUUUUUAAGCAGGCGCUGGGAAGAGGCUUCGAAGUUUGGGCCUUGCUUUAAAAAGCACAUGGGAUUUAAUGUGGCUUUGUUUGGCUGUCUGAAUUUGCCCCAGAUGAGAUGAGAUGAGAUGCAGAUGAUUUAAGUAUUGCUUACUGCAUGUUGACAGCUGCUGAUGUGAAUAAAUGCUCAAACAUUGACUGAUGGUUAUAUCUGCUAUCUGCCAAAGAAGAUUUAAGUCAGUUGCUGUUUCUCCUGUAUUGUUUUGUUUGGUUCCCUAGCUGGCCGGUCUCAGAGGUGUGUGCUGCAUGGUGGCAGCACGUGUAUUUUGUGGAUUGUUUGUGUACGAGUCCGGUUGGCUGGGGUUUUUGUUUUUUUUUUGAAUUUCUUUUUUUCCUUUUUUUUAACACCUUCCCAGCCUUAUGUCGCCAGCUUGAUUUAUUAGUGCUUGCUUUCUGCAUGUGUGUGGGCCUUUUCUUGUGUGGGGUCUAUGUUUGUUUGUUUUCUUGAGGUGGUUAUGAGUGAAGAUUUACGUUUUUAUUUGUUAGUUUUAUUUAAAUUUGUGUUUUUUUGCUUUUCAGUGUGAAUUAUCAGGGAAAUGCUGCCUUGUGCUUUAAAGGCCUCCACAUGCUAGGAAACUAGCUAAUAUAGUUAGUGUGAGUUGGCUGGUAACAUCUUGGGGAGCUGGGACCAAUCUUUGAGUUAUUUACAUAAAGUAUUUUGUCUGUGUUUUGUGUAUAUCCUUUGAUGCCCUUUUUUUUAAAAUAAAUCUUUGUACCUUGA